rnacentral:lncRNA from 1 species
AAACAUCCUAUAAUACUCAUUAGCUAACAUUUUCCUUGCUUCAAAUGAGUAAACUCAUGUUUCUUACGAUCAAUAUAGUCAGAAGGAAUGAACCUUUUUUGAAACAGCUCUUUAAAUACUCCCCAGUCCGCAAUCUCUGCUGGGGUUAACUGGUAAGACUCCUGUCUCCACCAGGAUGCAGGCUACUCUCCCAAAAACCAGGUAGUCAUCUCGACCCAUCUAUCAGGAAGAAGAUUCCCCUGACUCUGCAUCACUAGAAAGGUCUUCUCAAUAUGAUUAAGCCAUUUUUCUGCCCCCUCAUGACCUUCAUUCCCAAUGAAGUGAUUCAGCUUCAGGUUAUAAACUGUCUCAAGAGGUGUCCUUUGGGGAGGACGGAAUGCAGACUAAAUGGUAAUAACUAUAGCUUCCCCUAAUUGAGCAAUAUCGGGGAAACUAGGCUCAGUUGAGUGACGAGGCUCUCUACGAGGCGACAUAGUUCUGACAUAAGACAUCACAAGGAUUAGAAUAUUCAAGAAUUAUACAAGGUUGCUAAAUGUAGGCUCUGAUACCAAACUGACACACCACGAACGAGAUCAAGACAUGCUGGCCAUCACGUGAGACUGACGUAGCCAUGUGCACAGUGCGGAAGCAAUAAUGAUAAGAAAUAUAUGAAUAAUAAAACUGAAUUACUAGAGUGCACUACUAAAUAGGAAGUGUUAUGAGUAAUACACAGAAGUAAACACUCAUAAUCAGAGCAUAGAAAGUCUAGGUGCAGUCCAGUAGGAUAAGUACUAGUUAUACAGUACCAUAAGAUGUCUUACAAUUAUUUAGAUGGUCAGAACUGCCGCAGUCCUUGCACUCAGCAACUGCAAACUUACCUAAAACCUGGAGGGGCAUAAAACAAAAAACGUGAGUGGGCAAAAACAAAUAUUUUACAAAACCAUUUCAUUUAUCAACAUAUCUAACCCCUCGCUGUAAAACAUGUAUAAUUUUUCCCAAAAUCAAGAUAUAAACAUAUACAUAAUCAGAUAUGAAAUAUAUCAACUCAAUU